rnacentral:rRNA from 1 species
UACGAAGGGGGCUAGCGUUGUUCGGAAUCACUGGGCGUAAAGCGCACGUAGGCGGACUUUUAAGUCAGGGGUGAAAUCCCGGGGCUCAACCCCGGAACUGCCUUUGAUACUGGAAGUCUAGAGUCCGAGAGAGGUGAGUGGAACUCCGAGUGUAGAGGUGAAAUUCGUAGAUAUUCGGAAGAACACCAGUGGCGAAGGCGGCUCACUGGCUCGGACUGACGCUGAGGUGACGAAAGCGUGGGGCAAACAGGAUUCAGAUACCCCGUAGUCC